rnacentral:rRNA from 1 species
AUUGAACGCUGGCGGCAGGCCUAACACAUGCAAGUCGAGCGAGCGGCGGACGGGUGAGUAAUGUAUGGGAAUCUGCCCGAUAGAGGGGGAUAACUACUGGAAACGGUGGCUAAUACCGCAUACUAUCGGAUGAACCCAUAUGGGAUUAGCUAGUAGGUGGGGUAAAGGCGCACCUAGGCGACGAUCUCUCGCUGGUCUGAGAGGAUGACCAGCCACACGGGAACUGAGACACGGCCCAGACUCCUACGGGAGGCAGCAGUGGGGAAUAGUGCACAAUGGGCGCAAGCCUGAUGCAGCCAUGCCGCGUGGAGGAAGAAGGCCUUAGGGGUGUAAAGUACUUUAAGCGGGGAGGCGGUACCCGCAGAAGAAGCACCGGCUAACUCCGUGCCAGCAGCCGCGGUAAUUC